rnacentral:rRNA from 1 species
AGAUUAAGUUAUUAAGGGCGCACGGUGGAUGCCUUGGCACUAGAAGCCGAUGAAGGACGUUACUAACGACGAUAUGCUUUGGGUAGCUGUAAGUAAGCGUUGAUCCAGAGAUUUCCGAAUGGGGGAACCCAGCAUGAGUUAUGUCAUGUUAUCGACAUGUGAAUUCAUAGCAUGUCAGAAGGCAGACCCGGAGAACUGAAACAUCUUAGUACCCGGAGGAAGAGAAAGAAAAAUCGAUUCCCUGAGUAGCGGCGAGCGAAACGGGAAGAGCCCAAACCAACAAGCUUGCUUGUUGGGGUUGUAGGACACUCUAUACGGAGUUACAAAAGAACAUGUUAGACGAAUCAUCUGGAAAGAUGAAUCAAAGAAGGUAAUAAUCCUGUAGUCGAAAACAUAUUCUCUCUUGAGUGGAUCCUGAGUACGACGGAGCACGUGAAAUUCCGUCGGAAUCUGGGAGGACCAUCUCCUAAGGCUAAAUACUCUCUAGUGACCGAUAGUGAACCAGUACCGUGAGGGAAAGGUGAAAAGUACCCCGGAAGGGGAGUGAAAGAGAACUUGAAACCGUGUGCUUACAAGUAGUCAGAGCCCGUUAAUGGGUGAUGGCGUGCCUUUUGUAGAAUGAACCGGCGAGUUACGAUCUGAUGCAAGGUUAAGCAGCAAAUGUGGAGCCGCAGCGAAAGCGAGUCUGAAUAGGGCGUUGAGUAUUUGGUCGUAGACCCGAAACCAGGUGAUCUACCCUUGGUCAGGUUGAAGUUCAGGUAACACUGAAUGGAGGACCGAACCGACUUACGUUGAAAAGUGAGCGGAUGAACUGAGGGUAGCGGAGAAAUUCCAAUCGAACUUGGAGAUAGCUGGUUCUCUCCGAAAUAGCUUUAGGGCUAGCCUCAAGUGAUGAUUAUUGGAGGUAGAGCACUGUUUGGACGAGGGGCCCCUCUCGGGUUACCGAAUUCAGACAAACUCCGAAUGCCAAUUAAUUUAACUUGGGAGUCAGAACAUGGGUGAUAAGGUCCGUGUUCGAAAGGGAAACAGCCCAGACCACCAGCUAAGGUCCCAAAAUAUAUGUUAAGUGGAAAAGGAUGUGGCGUUGCCCAGACAACUAGGAUGUUGGCUUAGAAGCAGCCAUCAUUUAAAGAGUGCGUAAUAGCUCACUAGUCGAGUGACACUGCGCCGAAAAUGUACCGGGGCUAAACAUAUUACCGAAGCUGUGGAUUGUCCUUUGGACAAUGGUAGGAGAGCGUUCUAAGGGCGUCGAAGCAUGAUCGCAAGGACAUGUGGAGCGCUUAGAAGUGAGAAUGCCGGUGUGAGUAGCGAAAGACGGGUGAGAAU